rnacentral:rRNA from 1 species
AUGCAUGUUAAGUACACUAGCCUCGGAAUAACACCUGGGGUGCUAUCAUCAGCCGAGACGACUGAUGAUUCAGUCAGCGACAUUGGCAGCAAGGCAAGCCUGCUGCUCUUGUUGAGCUGCUCAGCGAGGACGCCGUCGUCGGUGAACUCCAACCACCUGAUGCUUCCCUCCGAGGAGCACCCAGCCGACGGCGGGAGGUGGAUGGAGGCUCAGAGGGUGAGGAACGUCCUCCUGAAACUGCUACAGCUGAUGGAUCAAAGGUGCAACCGGUGCUUCGACGACAUCCAGACGACGGCUUACAAGUUCAGCAGCAUGGUGGCGUAUCCAGGCGGCGCGCCUCCGCCGCCGCCGUUCGCGCAGCGCGCGCUCCGCGGUGUACCGGAGGCUGAGGAAGCAGACCCUGAUCGUGGCGGUGGCGCAGAAGUCCGGCGGCUCCCUGUGCCUGACAGAUUUAAUUCAAGUGAAGGUGAGUGCGGGUUAAAUUAG